rnacentral:tRNA from 1 species
UGCUAGAUAGCUUAGUGGGUAAAGCACCUGACUACAGAUUCGGGGGCUUGGGUUCAAUUCCAAGUCUGGUGC